rnacentral:misc_RNA from 1 species
CAAACUUGAAGAGGAACGUCGACUCCACAAUAAUUACUAACAAAGCAGGCAGCGGGAAACAGCCGCGCCCAUCAGAAACAGCUUGCUCUGGAUUGGCAUCUUGACAGUGAUAAUAGCUGAUGCAGGUUACGACCUGCUCUUGAAUGGAAUUGCCCUGAUGACCACCUGGUGGUAGAUGGCAGCAAGGGCAGCGCCAAUGAAG